AGGAGCUGGAAUGAAAGAGGCGACGAAAUCUAGACUAUUUAAGUUUUAAUAUAAAUUGACAAGCGGGUCAAAAGGCCCGCAUGGGCCAGGGGGACGAUAAGACCCUAUAAAACUUUACUUUCGGGCCGGUACCCGGCGGGGUGUGAGGGGUCUGAGAGUUUAACUGGGGCGGUUAUUAUAGAAACAAUUAUACAUGAAAUAUAUUAUAUAGAUUGGUAGAACUCUCUAGAGAAAUAGAACAAGUUACUUUAGGGAUAACAGCGUGAUCCCCCCAGAGAGUCCUGAUUGGCGGGGGGGCUUACGACCUCGAUGUUGAAUUGGGGUUUCCUAUAUAAGCAAAUAUAUAUAUAGAUAGUCUGUUCGACUAUUAAACUCCC
rnacentral:rRNA from 1 species